UGAAAUUGGAGCACAUCCUAAAUAUGGCCGAAAAGGCUGCCGUCACUUGCCCUUAAAUUCCUUUAAUGAUUUGUUGCGCAACCUUAACCUUUACCAUCGAAAUAAUCACACUUCCAGAAAAUUAGCUCUUGCAUCAAUAUUUAACAACCUACCUUUCUCAAAAGUGAACUCUAUACUUUCAUCUCCAUUGGCUAUCUAAAUUAAUGCACAUUCUUCCAUAAUUUUGCUUAAAACUCGAAUAAACUCCGAAAUAAUCGGCUGCACAAUUUUUUCCCCAGAGGGGUCUUCUUUUUCUUCCUGUGUCUUCCAAAUUUUGCCGCUUCUUCUUCACAAACUUGGUCACUACAUUAUUUCCAUAAAUUUCUAAUGUUCCCCUGGUCGGACAGGCUUCAAACGAUUUCACUCAACUUAAUUUGUUCAAAUCUUCCGGAACACAACUUUUGAACCGACGAAAUCAAAAAUUUUCGAUCACAAUCUGCCGAUUUUCACUGAACCCGAGCAACCGAUUGAAAAAAGUGUUCUUUUCGCCGCCUCUGUACGUACACACCAAACUUUCUUAGUAUGUGUAAAUCCAUCAUUUCUAAAUGAACAUUUCAAAAAAACGUACUGAAACACAGCCUCUUUCACCGAAAUAAAUCAGAACAAGCCCUAUCCAAACAUUUAUCAAAGAAGAUGUAGAAAGUGUUGCCAGUCAAAUGUACGAGAUAAAACAAAACGAAUUUAAUAUUAGUAAAAAUAUACUUGUUGUUUUCGUAUUUAAUGAAAAAGGAACUUAUCAACUAACUUUGCAAGAAAACACAAUUUUGGUUAGCAAAAAGGAGCAUCUGAAACGAAAAAAAAAUCCGACAGUUGUAUUUUAGCCACACUCUAACUAGCAUCACUGGCACUGCCACCGCUGUCUUGUCAUGCGGCUGAGGUUAGAAAACAAAAACAAAACAUUCGUUAGCAAAACAAACCAGCUGCAGGGGAAUUAAAACCUGCAACCGUGUCCGCUUUGGUAUUUUCAAGCAGAGCAAGUCCCCGAAAAGUGUUCCGUCGUCAAGCGGCCAAGUGGCGUAGUCUUUUGUGGAUAUUCCGUGGGAAUCCCGACAAAGGACCCGAAGAACUCCAACCAAGCUGACCCUACCCGUCGGACGAUGACAAUUUGGAGAUGAUCGCCCGACUCUACGAAACAGUCGAAAGACCCGCCUGUUGGGAUGCACUUCCGGCGCCCUCUCCGAAUUUUGAAUUGCUGGACCACUGUCGGAGCGAAUUCCCUUUUGGAGUCCAAACGAUUUGAACGCGUUGGUUCCGGCGCUGCUGUUGAAGUUCAGCCAACUCAGCCAUUGGGCAUGGAUUUUACAAUCUGGAUUGGAACUGCUUUGUGGCCUGAGUCGAACUGGUCCACAUGGGUCCGGUGGUGCAACAGGCUGUUACGGAACAUUUUCGGCUGAAAAAGGUCAGUUCUUUGUGGACAAAAUCAUGGCGACAUGGGACCACCUUUGGGCCGUACUUUUGGUUAGCAUCAGCCGGAGCGUUUAAUCGGUUUGCCAGUGAAGUGCUCUUGGGAAGUACGACCAUUUUUGCGGAAUUUUUGGCGGAUCCUGUCGAACGAAAGUUUCGUCGGUUCAAGUCGCUUCCGGCACCGUGAAUCCGGUUUACCUUUCGGUGUGAGCCCAGAAAAGUGGCUGCUGAAACAGAGCGAUCGCAAAGAGCUAACCCCGCUUAGGAUCGUCGACGAGUUUGAGUGGUUCUGCUUUUUGGACGAUCGAUGUGGACAUUUUCGGGCGACGGUCGAGUACAUGGAGAAAAUCAGGGUGAUUAAACACAACACCGGCCGAUUCUUCGUGCAGACUUGCACGUCUGUAAAAUCCCGGCCUUCCGACGAGAACAAGUCGAGGAAAAUACACAAUAAAAUAUAAUUGCAACUGCCAAAUAAAAACUUUAUUAAAUUUUAACAAUGCGCCUCCCGGGGCUGGCCUCAGAUGAUUUUCUAGAGCAAUUGCGGGCCGAAUUAUAUCGCUCAGCGAAAGUUGUGCCCGCAGACCGUGAGCUAGGUAGUCGUAGGUACCGUCAACUGGGGCGAAUCGGGACACAUGAGGCGAAUUGGGGCAGAAGUUUUAACCAUGUUGGAGCACAAUAUUUUGAUUCAACAGAUUAAGUCCACCAAAAUGUGUAGAUCCAUUUCAAAAUGUGAAACCUUGAAGUGCUCUAAACACUACUGUCCCUAUUCAGACUGUAGUCCCGAUUUGCCACAGAUGACGGUACCUCUCCUUAAGAAUAGAACAUGAUUCCAUUUUAAAGUUAGGAUUUUUGAUUGCAGGGUAUUAUUUUUUAUGAUACAAUUUUGCAACGCAAUGUGAAUUUUCUUUUUUUUUUUUAAAUCAAUGUUUACAUUUUCCAUCUAACAAAACAAAAAUAUUGUGUUUGAUAAACAUUCCGUAAGCACACAAACACUAACACGGUGUGUGUUGGUAUUUGUGAUAGUCUUACCAACACAAGUAUACUGAUAAUGAUUAAUGAUUUCAAUGAUUAUUAUGAAGAAGAAGAAAAAUAAGAAGAAGCCCAAAUCGGAUUUGAAGGCAU